UACAGAGGGUGCGAGCGUUGUUUCGGAAUUAUUGGGCGUAAAGGGCGCGUAGGCGGCGCCACAAGUCACUUGUGAAAACUCUGGGCUCAACUCAGAGCCUGCAAGCGGAAACUGGGGUGCUGGAGUGCGGGAGAGGUAAGCGGAAUUCCUGGUGUAGCGGUGAAAUGCGCAGAUAUCAGGAGGAACACCAUGGCGAAGGCAGCUCGCUGGAACGGUACUGAC
rnacentral:rRNA from 1 species